GGAAAAUAACUUAAAAGUGGAUAUUCUUUUGAAAGUAAAAAAGUAAAUUACAUUUAAGGAGAUUCAGAAAAAAAGAUGCAUCAAAUCUUAUCUGUAUAAUUGCAAGAUUGGUAAGAUCUUAAUGAACUAGGUACUAUAUAUUGUCACAAUAACAAACACUUAAGGUAAAAAAAUACUGUACUUCCCUCAAUAAAACAUGGAUAAGUCUUCGAUGAUUUUGUUUUUCCUGGUCUCCUCUUUCAUCCUUUCAUGUGAUAUGGCGAAUGGAUUGUCUUGUGUUGACGACCCAUCUUGCAGUGCUUAUACCUGCAAAAUUGGAGUUCGAGAAUGUGUUAAUGGUGUUUGUAAAUGUUGUUUUUCAUUAACAUGUGAUGCUGGUCAAGAAAGUGUUGACCCUGGUCGCAAAGUAUUGACCUUGCAAGAGUCUUCUAAUUAGUUAAAGCUAUUUGGAGUUUGUUUAUGUAAAUUCAAUGCCUUGUAAUUGGCUAAUUGAAUUGAAGAUUAUGUUCUAAUGAGUAUCUCAAUGUUAAAUGAUGUUUACUUGA